GUACGAGGGCAGGGCGGGGCUGGAGGAGGGGCACCCUGAGAAGGCAAAGGGAGCCAAGAGCCAGUAGCAGCGCAGAGCUGUGAAGGCACAGAGCGCGGCUGAGCAUCCUUGCGCUCAGCGCUCACCAGAGACAGAUCGCAGAGGCAGCUCUGGGAUUUUCUAUCAACACCAAGACUCUGGCUGUGUCUGGAUGCACCCGGAAGAGUCCAAGGAGCUGAGGAGCCGUGGGUCGUCCACAAGGAGAUUCUCAAGGAUGUCUCAGGGCCAGCAGAGUCUCCGUACCAUUUGGAAUUUGAUCACCUGCCAUUCAUAUUGACGUGGGUCUCACUAGGAAAGAGAAGCCUUUCAGACUGGAUAGCAUGAGGAGGGUCUAAUAAAGAGACAAACUUUAUUUAAGGGUAAAAAUAC
rnacentral:lncRNA from 1 species